UUGAAAGGGAAACGAUUGAAGUCAGUCGUACCAGCGGGAAAUCAACCUUUCGAGUGGGGUUUUUGGGGUUUUGAAGAGUGUCAAACCUUUGAGAUUUCAAAAUGUUCGCUCUUUUGGUGUACUUUUUCGCAGGUAGGUUAACAUCGAUUUUGAUCAUCAUAAAAGGAUUGGAGGAAUGUAGCUUCGAUCUCGUAUUGAAGUGUUAUAGCCUUUGGUAAAUGUGAUGAUUAGGAUCGAGGAUUGCAACGAAUACCCUUUUGGGCUAUCCGCCUGAUCUCUGAUACGUGGCCUUGGUAUCGAAAGCGUGCUUAUGAUAUAAAGGUAUUACGGUCAAA
rnacentral:rRNA from 1 species